AGUGGCGACCGCACAACCCCAGAGACUAAAACUCGUUGAACACUUACAAUGGGUUAACUUUACAGUGCAAUUAGAGAAGUGAAAGCUCACCUCAGUAAAGCGGUCAAUAAACGAAGAUGGACUACACAAAUACUCUCCAGCGUGCCCAGGGCCACAAAACCCCACAAUGACCUCAGCGUCAUGGGUCUGGGGAAGGCUUAGGUGUCCAAGGUAAAAAGGCAGCAACAGAUCUGCUUCUUCCUCCUCUCCCCGGCUUUGUGUCUUCGCAGACUUUGGGGGCUGGCCUGGGGCCCCAAGUCCUCCAUGAGCGAUGUCAGCAGACAAAGAAUCGGAGGCUUGGAGAAGCCACAUAACUCACCCAAAGUCAAAAGCUAAGAAGGAGCAGGACUGGGAUUCAAAGCCGGUGUCUCUACGAACUCAAGUCCACCUUAAAUCUGAAGGCCUGACUGUGG